rnacentral:lncRNA from 1 species
AUAAUAAUCACAUUAACAACUAGCAUAUAUUGAGUCCUUAUGACAGCCAAGAACUACACCAGGCACCUUGUAAGAAUUUUUCCACUUCCACACAACCCAUGGGGUAGGUGUUCCCUAUCCAAUUUUAUAGAUGAGGAAACUGAGGCAGAAAGUGGGUAUUUAAACAACCAGCUUAUAUAGUUAGAAUGUGUCAGUAUAAUGUCAUAGGUGAGAUCUACCUAGGCUGGGCCCAAUCCUGGCCCACCACUAUUGCUGUGUGACUUUGACAAGCUGCUUAUCUGCUCUGAGGUCUGGGAUGAUACUCCCACCCACACAGGCCAGAGAAGACCGAUCAGGCAUUCUGGGUCAGGAGCAGGGAAGGGGACUGAGCAUGGGGGAACACAUGGGAGAGAAGCUGCGGGGCAUGGGGUUGAGGCUGCGGGGCACGGGGUUGAGGCUGCGGGGCACAGGG